UACAGAGGGGGCAAGCGUUGUUCGGAAUUACUGGGCGUAAAGGGCGCGUAGGCGGCCUGUUAAGUCGAACGUGAAAUCCCCGGGCUCAACCCGGGAACUGCGUCCGAUACUGGCAGGCUUGAAUCCGGGAGAGGGAUGCGGAAUUCCAGGUGUAGCGGUGAAAUGCGUAGAUAUCUGGAGGAACACCGGUGGCGAAGGCGGCUUACUGGUCCGGUACUGACGCUGAGGUGCGAAAGCGUGGGGAGCAAACAGG
rnacentral:rRNA from 1 species